UACGUAGGGGGCAAGCGUUGUCCGGAUUUACUGGGUUUAAAGGGUGCGUAGGCGGCCUUGUAAGUCAGUGCUGAAAUAUCCCGGCUUAACCGGGAGGGUGGCAUUGAUACUGCAGGGCUUGAGUAAAGUUGAGGUUGGCGGAAUUGACGGUGUAGCGGUGAAAUGCUUAGAUAUCGUCAAGAACACCGAUAGUGAAGACAGCUAACUAAGCUUUAACUGACGCUGAGGCACGAAAGUGUGGGGAUCAAACAGG
rnacentral:rRNA from 1 species